UCCCUUAGAUGUUCUGGGCCGCACGCGCGCUACACUGAUGCAUUCAACGAGCCUAUCCUUGACCGACAGGUCCGGGUAAUCUUUGAAUCUGCAUCGUGACGGGGAUAGAUUAUUGCAAUUAUUAAUCUUCAACGAGGAAUGCCUAGUAGGCGCAAGUCAUCAGCUUGCGUCGAUUACGUCCCUGCCCUUUGUACACACCGCCCGUCGCUCCUACCGAUUGGGUGUGCUGGUGAAAUGUUCGGAUCGGCCGUUUGUCGCGGUUUCCGCGUCAUGUGGCUGAGAAGUUCAUUAAACCCUCCCACCUAGAGGAAGGAGAAGUCGUAACA
rnacentral:rRNA from 1 species